UGUGUGCAGCUGAGAAACGUUUGACUGACUUUGAGUGUGCAGUGGAAGAAGAUCAGCUGAUGUUUCCUUUGGUCUUGAAGUCCUCCACAAACAAACAUGUCACUUUACUGCUUUCUGCUCUUUUCUCACUUUAUAGGUGGAGCAGCCGGAGACAAAAUCUCUCCUGAAGCAGCUGAAGUCAGUGGAAGAGAAGAAGAAUCUGUCAGACUCAAAUGUGUCUACGAGACAGACAGCGAGCACGUUGGUCUCCACUGGUACGAGCAUCAUUCUAACCAGGCGCCUCAGUUUAUCCUCUGGAAAGGAGCGAGGUCACGGAGCCACGGUCAAUACAUUCCUGAUCAUCGAUAUCGAUCCCAAACAUGGAGGACUUCAGCUGAAGUGACCAUCAGAGAUGUAACGGGGGCAGACUCAGCGCUCUACUACUGUGCUCUGGAAACACAGUGAGACAAAGUGUUGAAGAGGUCGUACAAAAAGCUCCACACCGAUACGUGA